rnacentral:lncRNA from 1 species
AAGCACUAUUGCGCUUCUUCAUUUUUUUUUUUUCUUCUCCAUUUCAAGCUAAGAGAAAGGAGGAAGAGAGGCAGAAAAGGAGUCAAAGAAGGACGGUGGAAAGGAGAGAGGAAGGAAAACGAAGGUUCCAGGAAAGACUCCAACCACCUGAGCAUGUGCAGGGCCUCCAGCUGCUACAUCCUGAAGUGUGAUCCUGUCGCUGUCACAGUUGAAGGAAGACUGUGUCCCAGCAGUGCCUUGACUAAGAGGCCUCUCUCAGAGAUACGAGGGUGGCAUCGGAUGGCGCUCCAGCUACCACAAGAAGCGCUGGCUGCUCCCUCUCCUCCUUCCCAGAACACUGACUUCUCCAGUUCUCCCAGUGGCAUACCAACUUCUACCCUUUCUCUAUCCCAUUUUCAGAUUUCCAGUUCUUACAAAAUUUCUUUGAGGCUCACCCAAGCUUAAAGCUGAUGAACCACAGAACAGGUUGGAACCAGAGCUGUGUCUUAAAAAUAGGAAUCAUUUCUAAAUUACUUGACUUGAAGUCAAUACUUUCCCACCAUGAAGCCUAUUACAUAAAUGAAUAAAACUAUAGAGUAAUGAAUUAAAGCUAAUUUU